UCCAGACUCCUACGGGAGGCAGCAGUGGGGAAUAUUGCACAAUGGGGGGAACCCUGAUGCAGCGACGCCGCGUGGGUGAAGGAGUAUUUCGGUAUGUAAAGCCCUAUCAGCAGGGAAGAACAAUGACGGUACCUGACUAAGAAGCACCGGCUAAAUACGUGCCAGCAGCCGCGGUAAUACGUAUGGUGCAAGCGUUAUCCGGAUUUACUGGGUGUAAAGGGGGCGCAGACGGCGAUGCAAGCCAGGAGUGAAAGCCCGGGGCCCAACCCCGGGACUGCUCUUGGAACUGCGUGGCUGGAGUGCAGGAGGGGCAGGCGGAAUUCCUGGUGUAGCGGUGAGAUGCGUAGAUAUCAGGAGGAGCACCGGUGGCGAAGGCGGCCUGCUGGACUGCAACUGACGUUGAGGCCCGAAAGCGUGGGGAGCAAACAGGAUUAGAUACCCUUGUAAAA
rnacentral:rRNA from 1 species